rnacentral:rRNA from 1 species
UACGGAGGGGGCAAGCGUUGUUCGGAAUUACUGGGCGUAAAGGGCGCGUAGGCGGGGUGUCAAGUUAGGGGUGAAAGGCCUGGGCUCAACCUAGGAACUGCCUCUAAAACUGAUACUCUAGAGUCCGGGAGAGGAUGGCGGAAUUCCCAGUGUAGAGGUGAAAUUCGUAGAUAUUGGGAAGAACACCAGUGGCGAAGGCGGCCAUCUGGUCCGGCACUGACGCUGAGGCGCGAAAGCGUGGGGAGCAAACAGGAUUAGAUACCCCCGUA